rnacentral:misc_RNA from 1 species
GUCCUCCCGUGCGUUCCUUUUCAAUCGUUGGCACAAGAGUUGCUUUAGCCUUGCCUUGGCCGAGUGGCUGGUUUCCUGUGUUGCAUACCUACAUUGAUGGAAUUCGUUGGCCGACCCUCCCCACGUUCGCCCAUGCUGCCCGUUAGCGCGGUGCGGCUUCGGGUGAACAUUAAAGUGAAAUUCGUGUUCCGAAUUACAUGCGCCUUGCCUCGUAAUCACGGCCCACGAUAUUCGUAGACCCUUGGGAUGCAGAAAACGCUGCGGGUUGGGGUCCUCGACCUCUAUUUGCCCAAAAGUUGGCAUUACAUGCCCGAUUCGAAUGACGCUCGGUGUGGUAUGGAUGUUUCGCAUCUUGCGACCCGAUGUCUCURAGGAAUGCUACCUGGUUGAUCCUGCCAGUAGUCAUAUGCUUGUCUCAAAGA